GGCUUCAUAGCUCAGUGGCAGAGCGUUUGCUCCAGAAUCACAAAGUUAUGGGUUUGAAUCCCGUUGGAGCCU
rnacentral:tRNA from 1 species